GAGACAGCAAGCUCUGGAGUUUUGAUCAGAAUCCCUCAGAAUUCAAAAUCAGAAGUUGAGAUGGGGGCCGUCAGAUCGAAGUUUUCCAAAAUUGUAUCGAACAGUGUCAUGAAUGAAACAAGGAUGCACCGAGAAAUAUCAAAAGAAAAGCCACGACAUGCACCUCGACAUCCUUCCACUGAACAAGCAUUUCAAAACCUUAUAAACGAAAAUCCUGUUUUACAAGACAUUGAUAAAGUGAAGGAUACAGAGUACCUGAAACUGCUUAGUGACCUAAGAGUUGACUCUGUUGAUGAAAAGGUGCCAUACGAUAGCUUGACGAGCCUAUCAUCGAGGAACGAAGGUCAAAGAAUAGUGCCUGGCAAAGUAACUUGUGAACAAAUUUUUGAAAUGUUUUCUUUAAGGAGACAUGACCCUCAAGAAUGGACACCAGAAAAGAUUGCCAAAAAGUAUUAUCUCGCAGAAGGUGUUGUAAAUAAUAUACUACUUAACUAUAGCAGUUUUAAUGUUUUAAAAAUUAAGAAAGAAGAAAGUCCAUUUAAGAGAGUUGAUCUGAUUUAAAGAGAAUUUCGAUUGUGCUUAGUAACCAUUCUAUUGUGUGUUUGAAAGUGGCCAUUGUUCAACUGUCGUAAUUUGGAUAACUCAUAACCUAUAAAUUUAGGAACUUAACACGAUAGAGUCACGGAACAAUGCUGGAGGUAUACAUUCACAUAUAAUCCCGAAUGUGGCAAAGAAUUUUGCCUAGUUUGCUUAUUUGCGUUGUCUAUAAUUUUCAGGUUAUUCAUCUUUAUUUAAAAGUCUCUUACUAAGAACUUUUAAAUAUUGUAUUAUAUUUAAAUAUUAUAGAAAGUGUUUCCCGCUCCUCUGCCUUACUCGUUUCAUAUUUGGGAAGUAGGACAUGUAGUUAAAUGGUCCUUAAAGGCAUGUAUGACGUAUAAACAUUAGCUGUUUAGAUCGUGCAGCACUAGGACCUUCCAUAUUUAAUUUUGGGAGUUAUCACUUUUAUUCCGCAUUUGUUGUGAAAAAGAAUGACAAAAAGUGUCCUGAAUGUAUUAAACCUUAUCAAUACUAGGAAUGUUGAGACAUUUAGCUCGAUAAAAUCAGUGUGAUGAAUUUGAAUCUCCAUUACGAAAUUCUAACAUAGUGUAGCGAUUAAUUUUGGUUCAAUAUUUUGAAGAAAUAAAAGAUUUCUGCCUCGAUAUUAAACGAUUUUUUAUGUUAUAACCAAGACGAUUGUACAAUAGGGUUGCAAGAGUUGUAACUAAAGUUUAGUUGUCAAAUUCGAUCGUUGAAGUUCGACGUUCAACGUUUACUAUUCAUUGGCAGAAGUACAUUGUAA